rnacentral:rRNA from 1 species
GAUGAACGCUGGCGGCGUGCCUAAUACAUGCAAGUCGAGCGAACAGACGAGGAGCUUGCUCCUCUGACGUUAGCGGCGGACGGGUGAGUAACACGUGGAUAACCUACCUAUAAGACUGGGAUAACUUCGGGAAACCGGAGCUAAUACCGGAUAAUAUAUUGAACCGCAUGGUUCAAUAGUGAAAGACGGUUUUGCUGUCACUUAUAGAUGGAUCCGCGCCGCAUUAGCUAGUUGGUAAGGUAACGGCUUACCAAGGCAACGAUGCGUAGCCGACCUGAGAGGGUGAUCGGCCACACUGGAACUGAGGCACGGUCCAGACUCCUACGGGAGGCAGCAGUAGGGAAUCUUCCGCAAUGGGCGAAAGCUUGACGGAGCAACGCCGCGUGAGUGAUGAAGGUCUUCGGAUCGUAAAACUCUGUUAUUAGGGAAGAACAAAUGUGUAAGUAACUAUGCACGUCUUGACGGGACCUAAUCAGAAAGCCACGGCGAACUACGU